GGGGCACAGAAAUCAGUACUUUUGUUUCUGCUCGGUGCAUCCUCAUCCUAACGUCUCACUGACAGACCUGCGGACUCCGGGAACCCAGUUCAGUAAAACACUUAGACGACUGGGAGAGUUGAGCCCCGCCCGGGCUGCGCCGCCUUCCCGGGGGCCCGACAGGGAAGAUUCCGGCCCUGCGCACGCGAGCCAGGGCGGCCGUGGGCCACGCGGCGCGUGUGCGUGGCAGCGCCAUCAGAACUCCAGGGGAAAAGCCAAGCCGACUGAAAGCCAGGGAACAUAACAGCCAGCACCAGAGAGCACAAGUUCCCCACCAUAGCUCUGCAGCUCAAGAGGAAAAAGGAAAAAGGCCUGAUGGAUUCUGAAUUCCUCCUGCCUUCUUUGAUCUGCAAGACUGAUGCUAUCCUGAGGGCUCUCUCUGGCUCCUGGACCUUGAUCUCCUUCCUGCUGACUAUUUUGCUACCUGUCAAAUGGGCCCUACCGGACUUCUGAAUCAUCGCCUGCUCUGUCUCGGAUGCCUGCUAGACCACUCAAUCGUUCUAGAGCCAGAAGGCCACACGUGGCACUUGUCUACCCUCUGCUCCCUGGCUAUCCUCACUCUGCAGUGUAUAAAAGUUACUCUUUUCAAAAGCUAGGAAAGUUACAAUUUACCUGUCAGUAAACAGAAGAUGGUUUAUCAACAGACUUUACCUUAAUGACUACAAAUGUUUACCUCCUGCUUUCCAGAAUGCAAAGAAAAUCUUGGAAAUGUCAUAAUAUCUUACAAACAUUUGCAAAACAGAUCCCUGUACAUCCGGAAAAGAAACAAUUGUAUUCGUUGUCUCUGACACAAGGAAAGUGUUCAGCGAGAAACAUACAGAUAGAUGUACACUCUUUACACAUAAAUGAGAUAUGCUAAUUAAAAAUUGCAGUAGGCACUUUAUUAAAAAUUUAUUUUACAAUCUA